UACGUAGGGUGCGAGCGUUGUCCGGAUUUAUUGGGCGUAAAGAGCUCGUAGGCGGCUUGUCGCGUCGGAUGUGAAAGCCCGGGGCUUAACUCCGGGUCUGCAUUCGAUACGGGUAGGCUAGAGUGUGGUAGGGGAGAUCGGAAUUCCUGGUGUAGCGGUGAAAUGCGCAGAUAUCAGGAGGAACACCGGUGGCGAAGGCGGGUCUCUGGGCAGUAACUGACGCUGAGGAGCGAAAGCGUGGGGAGCGAACAGG
rnacentral:rRNA from 1 species